rnacentral:rRNA from 1 species
AGAGUGAACGCUGGCGGUAGGCCUAACACAUGCAAGUCGAACGGCAGCACAGUGGUAGCAAUACCAUGGGUGGCGAGUGGCGGACGGGUGAGGAAUACAUCGGAAUCUACCUUUUCGUGGGGGAUAACGUAGGGAAACUUACGCUAAUACCGCAUACGCCCUUCGGGGGAAAGCCGGGGAUCGCAAGACCUGGCGCGGAUAGAUGAGCCGAUGUCGGAUUAGCUAGUUGGUGAGGUAAUGGCUCACCAAGGCGACGAUCCGUAGCUGGUCUGAGAGGAUGAUCAGCCACACUGGAACUGAGACACGGUCCAGACUCCUACGGGAGCAGCAGUGGGAAUAGUUGGACAAGUGGGCGCAAGCCUGACUCCGAGCCAUACCGCGUGGGUAGAA